CCCGCUGAACUUAAGCAUAUCAAUAAGCGGAGGAAAAGAAACUAACAAGGAUUCCCCUAGUAACUGCGAGUGAAGCGGGAAAAGCUCAAAUUUAAAAUCUGAGGGUCUUUGCGGCCUUCCGAGUUGUAAUCUAGAGAAGUGCUAUCCGCGCUGGACCGUGUACAAGUCUCCUGGAACGGAGCGUCAUAGAGGGUGAGAAUCCCGUCUUUGACACGGACUACCAGGGCUUAUGUGAUGCGCUCUCAAAGAGUCGAGUUGUUUGGGAAUGCAGCUCUAAAUGGGUGGUAAAUUCCAUCUAAAGCUAAAUAUUGGCGAGAGACCGAUAGCGAACAAGUACCGUGAGGGAAAGAUGAAAAGAACUUUGGAAAGAGAGUUAAACAGUACGUGAAAUUGUUGAAAGGGAAACGCUUGAAGUCAGUCGCGUUGGCCAGGAAUCAACCUUGCUUUUGCUUGGCGUACUUUCUGGUUAAUGGGUCAGCAUCAAUUUUGACCGGUGGAUAAAGGUCAGGGGAAUGUGGCAUCUUCGGAUGUGUUAUAGCCUCUGGUCGCAUACAUCGGUUGGGAUUGAGGAACUCAGCACGCCGCAAGGCCGGGUUUUUAACCACGUACGUGCUUAGGAUGCUGGCACAAUGGCUUUAAUCGACCCGUCUUGAAACACGG
rnacentral:rRNA from 1 species